CAGCUUGUUGGUGAGGUAACGGCUCACCAAGGCAUCGACGGGUAGCUGGUCUGAGAGGAUGAUCAGCCACACUGGGACUGAGACACGGCCCAGACUCCUACGGGAGGCAGCAGUGGAGAAUCUUGCACAAUGGGCGAAAGCCUGAUGCAGCAACGCCGCGUGCGGGAAGAAGGCCCUAGGGUUGUAAACCGCUUUCAGCAGGGAAGAAGAUGACGGUACCUGUAGAAGAAGGUGCGGCCAACUACGUGCCAGCAGCCGCGGUGACACGUAGGCACCAAGCGUUGUCCGGAUUUAUUGGGCGUAAAGAGCUCGUAGGCGGUUCGGUAAGUCGGGUGUGAAAACUCUGGGCUCAACCCAGAGCCGCCACCCGAUACUGCUGUGACUUGAGUUCGGUAGGGGAGCGGGGAAUUCCUGGUGUAGCGGUGAAAUGCGCAGAUAUCAGGAGGAACACCAGUGGCGAAGGCGCCGCUCUGGGCCGAGACUGACGCUGAGGAGCGAAAGCGUGGGUAGCAAACAGGAUUAGAUACC
rnacentral:rRNA from 1 species